rnacentral:rRNA from 3 species
CCCCGGUAAACGGCGGCCGUAACUAUAACGGUCCUAAGGUAGCGAAAUUCCUUGUCGGGUAAGUUCCGACCUGCACGAAUGGCGUAAUGAUGGCCAGGCUGUCUCCACCCGAGACUCAGUGAAAUUGAACUCGCUGUGAAGAUGCAGUGUACCCGCGGCAAGACGGAAAGACCCCGUGAACCUUUACUAUAGCUUGACACUGAACAUUGAGCCUUGAUGUGUAGGAUAGGUGGGAGGCUUUGAAGUGUGGACGCCAGUCUGCAUGGAGCCGACCUUGAAAUACCACCCUUUAAUGUUUGAUGUUCUAACGUGGACCCGUAAUCCGGGUUGCGGACAGUGUCUGGUGGGUAGUUUGACUGGGGCGGUCUCCUCCUAAAGAGUAACGGAGGAGCACGAAGGUUGGCUAAUCCUGGUCGGACAUCAGGAGGUUAGUGCAAUGGCAUAAGCCAGCUUGACUGCGAGCGUGACGGCGCGAGCAGGUGCGAAAGCAGGUCAUAGUGAUCCGGUGGUUCUGAAUGGAAGGGCCAUCGCUCAACGGAUAAAAGGUACUCCGGGGAUAACAGGCUGAUACCGCCCAAGAGUUCAUAUCGACGGCGGUGUUUGGCACCUCGAUGUCGGCUCAUCACAUCCUGGGGCUGAAGUAGGUCCCAAGGGUAUGGCUGUUCGCCAUUUAAAGUGGUACGCGAGCUGGGUUUAGAACGUCGUGAGACAGUUCGGUCCCUAUCUGCCGUGG